AGUCGAACGGACUUAAUGAGCUUGCUUAUUAAGUUAGUGGCGCACGGGUGAGUAAUAUAUAGCUAACCUGCCCUUUAGUGGGGGACAACAGUUGGAAACGACUGCUAAUACCCCAUACUCCUUCUUAUCUUAAGAUCAGUUGGGAAAGAUUUAUCGCUAAAGGAUGGGGCUUUAUUGUAUCAGCUAGUUGGUGGGGUAAUGGCCCACCAAGGCAAUGACGCAUACCUGGUCUGAGAGGAUGAUCAGGCACACUGGAACUGAGACACGGUCCAGACUCCUACGGGAGGCAGCAGUGGGGAAUAUUGCACAAUGGAGGAAACUCUGAUGCAGCAACGCCGCGUGGAGGAUGACGCAUUUCGGUGUGUAAACUCCUUUUAUAGGGGAAGAUAAUGACGGUACCCUAUGAAUAAGCACCGGCUAACUCCGUGCCAGCAGCCGCGGUAAU
rnacentral:rRNA from 1 species